CCUACGGGAGGCAGCAGUGGGGAAUAUUGGACAAUGGGGGCAACCCUGAUCCAGCAAUGCCGCGUGUGUGAAGAAGGCCUGAGGGUUGUAAAGCACUUUCAGUGGGGAGGAGGAUACUUAGGUUAAGAGCUAGAGUAUUGGACGUUACCCACAGAAGAAGCACCGGCUAACUCCGUGCCAGCAGCCGCGGUAAUACGGAGGGUGCGAGCGUUAAUCGGAAUUACUGGGCGUAAAGGGUGCGUAGGUGGUUGAUUAAGUUAUCUGUGAAAUCCCCGGGCUCAACCUGGGCAGGUCAGAUAAUACUGAUUGACUCGAGUAUAGGAGAGGGUAGUGGAAUUUCCGGUGUAGCGGUGAAAUGCGUAGAGAUCGGAAGGAACACCAGUGGCGAAGGCGGCUACCUGGCCUAAUACUGACACUGAGGCACGAAAGCGUGGGGAGCAAACAGGAUUAGAUACCCUGGUAGUCCACGCUGUAAACGAUGUCAACUAGCUGUUGGUUAUAUGAAUAUAAUUAGUGGCGCAGCAAACGCGAUAAGUUGACCGCCUGGGGAGUAACGGUGCGAAGAUUAAAACUUCAAAAGGAUUGACGG
rnacentral:rRNA from 1 species